rnacentral:rRNA from 1 species
GAUCAUGGCUCAGAUUGAACGCUGGCGGCAGGCCUAACACAUGCAAGUCGAGCGGAAACGAGUUAUCUGAACCUUCGGGGGACGAUAACGGCGUCGAGCGGCGGACGGGUGAGUAAUGCCUAGGAAAUUGCCCUGAUGUGGGGGAUAACCAUUGGAAACGAUGGCUAAUACCGCAUGAUGCCUACGGGCCAAAGAGGGGGACCUUCGGGCCUCUCGCGUCAGGAUAUGCCUAGGUGGGAUUAGCUAGUUGGUGAGGUAAGGGCUCACCAAGGCGACGAUCCCUAGCUGGUCUGAGAGGAUGAUCAGCCACACUGGAACUGAGACACGGUCCAGACUCCUACGGGAGGCAGCAGUGGGGAAUAUUGCACAAUGGGCGCAAGCCUGAUGCAGCCAUGCCGCGUGUGUGAAGAAGGCCUUCGGGUUGUAAAGCACUUUCAGUCGUGAGGAAGGUGGUGUAGUUAAUAGCUGCAUUAUUUGACGUUAGCGACAGAAGAAGCACCGGCUAACUCCGUGCCAGCAGCCGCGGUAAUACGGAGGGUGCGAGCGUUAAUCGGAAUUACUGGGCGUAAAGCGCAUGCAGGUGGUUUGUUAAGUCAGAUGUGAAAGCCCGGGGCUCAACCUCGGAAUAGCAUUUGAAACUGGCAGACUAGAGUACUGUAGAGGGGGGUAGAAUUUCAGGUGUAGCGGUGAAAUGCGUAGAGAUCUGAAGGAAUACCGGUGGCGAAGGCGGCCCCCUGGACAGAUACUGACACUCAGAUGCGAAAGCGUGGGGAGCAAACAGGAUUAGAUACCCUGGUAGUCCACGCCGUAAACGAUGUCUACUUGGAGGUUGUGGCCUUGAGCCGUGGCUUUCGGAGCUAACGCGUUAAGUAGACCGCCUGGGGAGUACGGUCGCAAGAUUAAAACUCAAAUGAAUUGACGGGGGCCCGCACAAGCGGUGGAGCAUGUGGUUUAAUUCGAUGCAACGCGAAGAACCUUACCUACUCUUGACAUCCAGAGAACUUUCCAGAGAUGGAUUGGUGCCUUCGGGAACUCUGAGACAGGUGCUGCAUGGCUGUCGUCAGCUCGUGUUGUGAAAUGUUGGGUUAAGUCCCGCAACGAGCGCAACCCUUAUCCUUGUUUGCCAGCGAGUAAUGUCGGGAACUCCAGGGAGACUGCCGGUGAUAAACCGGAGGAAGGUGGGGACGACGUCAAGUCAUCAUGGCCCUUACGAGUAGGGCUACACACGUGCUACAAUGGCGCAUACAGAGGGCGGCCAACUUGCGAAAGUGAGCGAAUCCCAAAAAGUGCGUCGUAGUCCGGAUUGGAGUCUGCAACUCGACUCCAUGAAGUCGGAAUCGCUAGUAAUCGUGGAUCAGAAUGCCACGGUGAAUACGUUCCCGGGCCUUGUACACACCGCCCGUCACACCAUGGGAGUGGGCUGCAAAAGAAGUAGGUAGUUUAACCUUCGGGGGGACGCUUACCACUUUGUGGUUCAUGACUGGGGUGAAGUCGUAACAAGGUAGCGCUAGGGGAACCUGGCGCUGGAUCACCUCCUUA